rnacentral:lncRNA from 1 species
GGACAAACCAGCAAAAAUUAACUAACAUUCAGAAACCGAAGGAGUGGUGUGAUUGAGGGUAUGGCUUUUGACAUAACGGAACAGUAGAACAAGACUUAUGCAACCGACCUCAAAUAAUUGAGAUAAGGCGGAUGAUGAUAAUGAUUUAGAAGCGGAGAGAGAAACAUGAAGAACAACUUCAGCCAAUGAGAGAAACAUGUCCAACUCCAGGACUGUGUCCUGGCGAUGUAGACCUCGAAUCCAUUGUGUGUUUCACACUAUUACUCUUAUCAUGUCCCGC